CACGUAGUUAGCCGGAGCUUUCUUCACCGGUACAGUCUUUUUCUUCCCUGUGGACAAUAGUUUACAAUCCGAAAACCUUCUUCCUAUACGCGGCGUCACUGCGUCAGAGUUGCCUCCAUUGCGCAAUAUUCCCGACUGCUGCCUCCCGUAGGAGUCUGGGCCGUAUCUCAGUCCCAAUGUGGCCGUUCAACCUCUCAGUCCGGCUACUGAUCGUCGCCUUGGUAGGCCUUUACCCCACCAACUAGCUAAUCAGCCGCAAGCUCAUCUAUCAGCGAAUUGCUUCUUUCCCACUAACAUCAUGCGAUGUUUAUGGCAUAUGCGGUAUUAGCAGUGAUUUCUCACUGUUACUUCCCCUCUGAUUAGGCAGUAUUUCUUACGUGUUACUCUACCAGUCCCGCCACUAACCGCUUACCUUGCUAAGCAAAGACUAUUAAGUUCGUUACGACUUUGCAUGUCUUAUGUGCGCCGCCAGUCCGUUUAUCCCGUGACGCCAGGACUACG
rnacentral:rRNA from 1 species